rnacentral:sRNA from 1 species
AGUCUGAUCUGCAGACAAAGGGCUUAGCUUCUGGGAUGGUGCCUGGGGCAGCUGUUCACCUUUGCUUGUGCCUCAGGUCUGGAGCCUGGGCAACACGUCACUGCCACCAGCCAACUGGACUGUAGUUGGUGAGCAGACCCAGCUGGAAAUCGCCACCCAUAUGCCAGGCUCCUACUGCGUGCAAGUGGCUGCAGUCACUGGUGCUGGAGCUGGGGAGCCCAGUAGCCCUGUCUGCCUCCUUUUAGAGCAGGCCAUGGAGCGAGCUGCCCAAGAACCCAGUGAGCAUGGUCCUUGGACCCUGGAGCAGCUGAGGGCCACCUUGAAGCGGCCUGAGGUCAUUGCCACCUGCGGUGUUGUGCUCUGGCUGCUACUUCUGGGCACCGCUGUGUGUAUCCACCGCCGGCGCAGAGCUGGGGUGCACCUGGGCCCAGGUCUGUACAGAUAUACCAGUGAGGAUGCCAUCCUAAAACACAGGAUGGAUCACAGUGACUCCCAGUGGUUGGCAGACACUUGGCGUUCCACCUCUGGCUCUCGGGACCUGAGCAGCAGCAGCAGCCUCAGCAGUCGGCUGGGGGCGGACGCCCGGGACCCACUAGACUGUCGUCACUCCUUGCUCUCCUGGGACUCCCGAAGCCCCGGCGUGCCCCUGCUUCCAGACACCAGCACUUUUUAUGGCUCCCUCAUCG